GCAGUCGACGGUAGCACAGAGAGCUUGCUCUCGGGUGACGAGCGGCGGACGGGUGAGUAAUGUCUGGGAAACUGCCUGAUGGAGGGGGAUAACUACUGGAAACGGUAGCUAAUACCGCAUAAUGUCGCAAGACCAAAGUGGGGGACCUUCGGGCCUCAUGCCAUCAGAUGUGCCCAGAUGGGAUUAGCUAGUAGGUGGGGUAACGGCUCACCUAGGCGACGAUCCCCAGCUGGUCUGAGAGGAUGACCAGCCACACUGGAACUGAGACACGGUCCAGACUCCUACGGGAGGCAGCAGUGGGGAAUAUUGCACAAUGGGCGCAAGCCUGAUGCAGCCAUGCCGCGUGUGUGAAGAAGGCCUUCGGGUUGUAAAGCACUUUCAGCGGGGAGGAAGGCGGUGAGGUUAAUAACCUCAUCGAUUGACGUUACCCGCAGAAGAAGCACCGGCUAACUCCGUGCCAGCAGCCGCGGUAAUACGGAGGGUGCAAGCGUUAAUCGGAAUUACUGGGCGUAAAGCGCACGCAGGCGGUCUGUCAAGUUGGAUGUGAAAUCCCCGGGCUCAACCUGGGAACUGCAUUCGAAACUGGCAGGCUAGAGUCUUGUAGAGGGGGGUAGAAUUCCAGGUGUAGCGGUGAAAUGCGUAGAGAUCUGGAGGAAUACCGGUGGCGAAGGCGGCCCCCUGGACAAAGACUGACGCUC
rnacentral:rRNA from 1 species